rnacentral:rRNA from 1 species
AGUGGCGGACGGGUGAGUAACGCGUAAGAAUCUACCUUCAGGUUGGGGACAACCACUGGAAACGGUGGCUAAUACCGAAUGUGCCGAGAGGUGAAAGGCUUGCUGCCUGAAGAAGAGCUUGCGUCUGAUUAGCUAGUUGGUAGUGUAAGAGACUACCAAGGCGACGAUCAGUAGCUGGUCUGAGAGGAUGAUCAGCCACACUGGGACUGAGACACGGCCCAGACUCCUACGGGAGGCAGCAGUGGGGAAUUUUCCGCAAUGGGCGAAAGCCUGACGGAGCAAUACCGCGUGAGGGAGGAAGGCUCUUGGGUUGUAAACCUCUUUUCUCAGGGAAGAACAGAAUGACGGUACCUGAGGAAUAAGCAUCGGCUAACUCCGUGCCAGCAGCCGCGGUAAUACGGAGGAUGCAAGCGUUAUCCGGAAUGAUUGGGCGUAAAGGGUCCGCAGGUGGCAUUGUAAGUCUGCUGUUAAAGAGUUUGGCUCAACCAAAUAAGAGCAGUGGAAACUACAAAGCUAGAGUGUGGUCGGGGCAGAGGGAAUUCCUGGUGUAGCGGUGAAAUGCGUAGAUAUCAGGAAGAACACCAGUGGCGAAGGCGCUCUGCUAGGCCGAGACUGACACUGAGGGACGAAAGCUAGGGGAGCGAAUGGGAUUAGAUACCCCAGUAGUCCUAGCCGUAAACGAUGGAUACUAGGCGUAGCUCGUAUCGACCCGAGCUGUGCCGGGAGCUAACGUGUUAAGUAUCCCGCCU